UAUAUUCUUUGACCCAUCAAGAAGCUCAAAUGUCUUGACAUAUGUUCUUUAAGAUUUAAGACUUCGCUGAUAAGUUUCAAUUGCUGUAUAUGUAUCAUUAUCACUAUUAUGCAUACUCAAUGAAUAAAAGUAUUUAUUCAGCAUAUUUCUAUACAAUAAUAGUUAUAUAACAAUUUGUUUGCUGUCAGUUGCCUUAUCGUUAUGUAUGUUAAAACAAGUAAUAAAACUUAUAAACAAACAAACAACAGAAGGAAAACAGUGAAGAGGCCUGACAGCAGCCCAGGCUGACCUGACCGCUAUCCCUACCCGACUGACGUCACUGAGGGAGUGAAGAGGCCUCUCCCCCUCUAGAUGGCCUUGGUGUAGUGGCCAUUAUCUCCCUCUGACCACUGGCCGUCAUCUUUCUGGCAGUGUACCCGGUUUUGCAGAAUCACUUCCAACAUUCUUCUCUCCCGCAGCACCGAGCCCCGCCCCUCGUGCUGGCGUGAGUCUGCAUGCUGCCCGCCACGUCCACACUCUCCUCCAACGAGCGGAACACGGGCGUGGCCGGGUCAUUGCGCCGGGAGAUCCACUGUCGCCGUGACCGUGACCAUUCACCGCCUUGGCUUUCUGAUGUGGCGAGGAUGCACAGGUGGGGAAAAUUGCGUGGUUUUCGCACGUGAAAAAAUCCCUGAAUAGGGACCAUUAAGAAACAUGAUCCCAGCUGCUACCGGGUUAAAGGAGGGGUUGUGCAGAUUGAAAAUGGAGAAUGAAAAUUUGUCAACGGAAAAGGACGAUUGGAAGAGGAAGGCCGAGAGGUUGUCGGCAGAAAAGGAAGCGUUUAGGGCGAGAAUGAGGAGCGCUGCGGUACUCCUUGAUGUAGGAGAUCAGUAGGUGUUCUCGUCCCAGCCUUCCCAGCAGCAGCAGCAGCAGCAGCAGGAGGAGGAGGAGUAGAGGAGGAGGUGGAAGAGGAAGUGGAAGUGGAAGAGGAAGUGGAGGAGUAACAAUGAAAAGAGAUUGAGAGAGGAGG